UUGGGAAUCUUGCGCAAUGGGCGAAAGCCUGACGCAGCGACGCCGCGUGGGGGAAGAAGGUCUUCGGAUUGUAAACCCCUUUUGUCGGGGAAGAGGAAGGACGGUACCCGGCGAAUAAGCCCCGGCUAACUACGUGCCAGCAGCCGCGGUAAUACGUAGGGGGCGAGCGUUGUCCGGAUUUACUGGGCGUAAAGGGCGCGUAGGCGGCUCGUUAAGUUGGCUGUAAAAGGCUCUGGCUUAACCAGGGUAAGUCGGCCGAAACUGGCGGGCUCGAGGACGGUAGAGGAAGGUGGAAUUCCUGGUGUAGUGGUGAAAUGCGUAGAGAUCAGGAGGAACACCGGUGGCGAAGGCGGCCUUCUGGGCCGUUCCUGACGCUGAAGCGCGAAAGCGUGGGGAGCGAACUGA
rnacentral:rRNA from 1 species